UUCAGAUGGUGUGUGAGCUUAGACUAAAGUGACAUGUCUGUUUUAUAUAAAUUCGUUUUUUCAAUUGCAGAAGCUUUUUCCUCUCAUUGGGCAUAUAAACAACAUGUGUGGUUAAUCGUUUUGCCAUCUUUGUGGUCAUUUUUAUUCUUUCUAUGCAUGUUUUUGCUGGCAAUUUAACAACUGAUUGUAGAAACUUUUGUCGUUGUAUCUUGAUGCUUCUUAAUAGUGGUGGUGCCAUGCAUGUUCUUGGUUAAAUUAAUUGAGUACAUCCGUAAUUUGGAAUAGUUCUUUUCUAAAUUGGCAGGAAUUUUUUCAGUCGAGGAGAUUGUUGGAUACUUCUGCUAAUUGGAUCAAUGGAAGCGAUAGCCAGUUAUUAGGGGUAUCUUUUGGCAGGAUUACAAGGACUUUGUUGCGGAUGGGAUUCAAACAGAAGCUUUCAACUUGAACGAGGAGAGGGAAGAAGGUUAUUUUCAUGCAGAUGGAAAGUUUAUUAAUUAUGCCAUUAAAAAAUGAAGUCAAGGUCAUAAAAUAUUUUUUAUACUGAAGCUUUCAUCUCUCUGAUUAAAUUCAGUUGAAUUAAGUAAUUCAGUCGAUUAAUUAAUUCAGUAAAAGAGAACCAAAAAACGUGGAGGCGGAGUCAAAUGCAAAAUCAUAGAAUCAGAAAUUAAGGCCCAGACACUAUUGAUUCCUCAAAUUUUUCGCCAUGAAGCAAAAGGUGGUGACUCACGCAGACAACUUGUUGGGUUUUACGGCUUAAAAUUAAGAUGAUGCAAAAAAUUAGGUUUGUGUUACCUAUUUGGUUUUGGUGUCCUAUUUAGGGUUUGUAAUUUGUGGGAUUUGGGUUGUAAGAGUUUAAACACUCUUUUGUAAUCUCCGUUUGUUUAGUAAAAUUCCUCGCAGUGCUUCGCCCAUGGACAUAAGCUUUACACCAAACCACGUAAAUCUCUUGUGUUAGUUUGAGAUUGUUUGUUUUAGCUUUCGCCUAGGACUUUGAUAUUUGGUACUUUGUUAUAAUUUGCUUCCAUUUGCAUAUAAAAGUACAACAAGUGGUAUCAGAGGCCAAGUUUCGACUUGGGCUUUGCUUGGUAGUCACCAUGAAGCCUUCUGUGUCAUCGGUGAAAGUUGAUAUUGAAAAGUUCGACGGCAAUGACUUUUGUAUUUGGCAAUUGAAGAUGUGUGCUUUGUUAGUUCAACAAGGGCUUUUGACAACGCUAAAGGGUGUGAAGGCUUUGCCGAAUUCAUGGACUAAUGAGG